rnacentral:rRNA from 1 species
GCUGGCGGCGUGCUUAACACAUGCAAGUCGAGCGAGAAAUUUCCCGCUUGCGGGAAAGAGUAAAGCGGCGAACGGGUGAGUAACACGUGAGCGAUCUGCCCGACGGUGGGGGACAACCCAGGGAAACCUGGGCUAAUACCGCGUACAGCGCUGGGAGUAGAGCCCCAGCGUGAAAGCUGGCCUCUCCAUGGAAGCUAGCGCCGUCGGAGGAGCUCGCGGCCUAUCAGCUUGUUGGUGGGGUAACGGCCUACCAAGGCUAUGACGGGUAGCUGGCGUGAGAGCGCGAUCAGCCACACUGGGACUGAGACACGGCCCAGACUCCUACGGGAGGCAGCAGUGGGGAAUAUUGCGCAAUGGGCGAAAGCCUGACGCAGCGACGCCGCGUGGGGGAGGAAGGCCUUAGGGUUGUAAACCCCUGUCAGACGGGACGAACCGUGUGUCGGCGAAUAUCCGGCAUGCCUGACGGUACCGUCAGAGGAAGCUCCGGCUAACUCCGUG